UGCCAGGAGAAGACACAGGACCAGUGUUAAAUCACAGGGCCUUCUCAGCAGGUCCUUCGCCUGGACUUCUUGAACGACCUAAAAGAGACUUUAUAACCAGUGAGCAGGCCCAAAGUACCAAGGAAGAAUCGGAGACCAACUGAGACACAAGUGCCGUGAUGAUGGUGAUGAAUUUUGAAGAUUCAAGGUUCGGAUCAUAACCUACUCACCAUGGAGCUUACAGAAAAUCCCUCCCCCUUGUGGCUGUUCCAGUUGCCACCUCUGAGUAAGGAGGUCGGGCCAGGUGAUCUUGAAGGGCCCUUCUCGCUCUUAAUUCACAUCUUCAUAUAUCAGUUUUGCUGAAAGGAUCUAAUGCCUAUAAAAGGAAGAGAAACUUGAGAAAUGUGUCACUCAGUAGCUUAGAAAUGAAGACCUUAACGGAGUACCUCCCCAGCCAGUACUGUUUCACCUUGACCACCUUGGCUGUGAAUGGGAGGGAGGUGUCUCAGAAGACAUCUGCAGCCAGUCUCCAUGUGCCUGGAUCGCUUGGUAACCAGAUUCUACGGCUGUGUGUGCUACCUUGAAGAGCAGUAUCUCUCCAGCCUCCCCUCGGAGCAGUGAAUGCACAGGUAUCUCUGAAGGACGCGUGCUGGUGCUCACACUGCAGGCCACUAAAGGCCCGACCAACCGCCCACUCAGCACAUCCAUGCAGAGUCUGAUGGGAGGAGCCAGUGUGCCCGGCGGCACAGGAGGUUCCGAAAAGCAGGCCUCACCCAUCGGAGCAGACGUAUCCAGACAGACACACCGCUGUGGCCCCGGGGACUAAGGGGACCGAUGCUACAGACUCAGCACAGUUACACCGACAGAUCCCCCUGAGCUCCCCGGAUUCACGGUCCCGUUCAGGAGCCAGUGAGUGAGUGAGCCCUUGGAGUUUGCAAACAGGUUAAAUUUAACUUAAUAAAAUCACCUUUGAGGGAUAAUUGUAA